UGAGGAAUAUUGGUCAAUGGCCGAGAGGCUGAACCAGCCAAGCCGCGUGAAGGAAGACGGCCUACGGGUUGUAAACUUCUUUUGUCGGGGAACAAAAGAGGGGACUGGUCCCCUUCCGAGGGUACCCGAAGAAAAAGCAUCGGCUAACUCCGUGCC
rnacentral:rRNA from 1 species